AAUAACAACUCGGACCUCACACGAGGUUACGGGAUUGCAAUGAGAACAAUUUAAACCACUUAUCGAGCAACAAUUGGAGGGCAAGUCUGGUGCCAGCAGCCGCGGUAAUUCCAGCUCCAAUAGCGUAUAUUUAAGUUGUUGCAGUUAAAAAGCUCGUAGUUGAAUUUCUGGCCAGCGCUGUUCUUGGCUCUCGCAGUCGGCUCAGUGUUUGGUCAUCCGUAUGGGAAGCUAACUCGGCCUUCACUGGUCGGUUAGUGGAUCAUACACUUUACUUUGAAAAAAUUAGAGUGUUUCAGGCAGGCAAUUGCUUGGAUACUUCAGCAUGGAAUAAUGGAAUAGGACUUUGACC
rnacentral:rRNA from 1 species